rnacentral:rRNA from 1 species
CCUACGGGAGGCAGCAGUGGGGAAUAUUGGACAAUGGGCGAAAGCCUGAUCCAGCAAUGCCGCGUGAGUGAAGAAGGCCUUCGGGUUGUAAAGCUCUUUUACCCGGGAUGAUAAUGACCGUACCGGGAGAAUAAGCCCCGGCUAACUCCGUGCCAGCAGCCGCGGUAAUACGGAGGGGGCUAGCGUUGUUCGGAAUCACUGGGCGUAAAGCGUACGUAGGCGGCCAUUCAAGUCAGAGGUGAAAGCCCAGGGCUCAACCCUGGAACUGCCUUUGAAACUAGAUGGCUGGAACACGGGAGAGGUGAGUGGAAUUCCGAGUGUAGAGGUGAAAUUCGUAGAUAUUCGGAAGAACACCAGUGGCGAAGGCGGCUCACUGGACCGUUGUUGACGCUGAGGUACGAAAGCGUGGGGAGCAAACAGGAUUAGAUACCCUGGUAGUCCACGCCGUAAACGAUGAUAACUAGCUGUUGGGGCUCUUGGAGCUCCAGUGGCGCAGCUAACGCAUUAAGUUAUCCGCCUGGGGAGUACGGCCGCAGGUUAAAACUCAAAGGAAUUGACGG